GCGUGCAAUACCACAGCCAGAUGGUUUUUGCAGAACCUGAGCUUUCACUUUUGCAGAGUCCAAAAAUUUUCUUUUUAAAACAAACAUCCUGCUGUGUGCUGGCUACAGUAAUGCUCUCCUAAGCUGGCAGUCCAGAACUUUCUAAACCCACAGCAGCAUUACAGCUAUGGACAAGUGUGUUAAAUUCUCUACCAGCAAACAAUGAGUUAGGAUUCAACUGAAUAGAAAAGGAUCGCUUAAAUUUCAUUUCUCUUGUUGUCCAGAAAUGUAAAUAGGAAUAGGAAAUGUAAAUAGGAAUAUAGGAAAUGGGCUGAUGGGGCUGUAUCUCUUGUUGCCCAGAAAUGUAAACAGCGGAGGAAAUGGGCUGACUGGGGCUGUUGCUCUACCUACAAGGUCAAGCAGUGAUAAGACCUUGUCAGCAGCCUGGGAAGUAGCAGAUGGGUAAAGAAGUGAGCCUCUCUGGAGCACUUCUCCGUAACAGAUUAGCAGCUGCCGUAGCAUCGUUUCCUACAAACUGAGUAGUCUGGGCCUGGGUUAGAAAGUGCUGUGGGAUUAGUGUGUUGUUGAUUAACACCUGCAGCUGGUGGAACCUGUGCCCUCUGCUCUCCCAUCAGUUGUCUCGGCUGUCACGCCUGUCCUGAGGAAAGCCCUGUGGAAAGAGCUCUGCGCUGGGAUUCAGGACGCCGGAGCGUCCCACGAGGCCUCCGAGAAACUGCAAAUUCUAAGUUGUUGCCACCUUUGGAAAGCAAAGAGCUGCACAAUCUAAUGGACCAGCUUCCUGCUGCUCUGGAGAAGGCAGGGAAUGGAGAGAGUUGGGCUGUGGCAGAUGCUGUAUCCAGAGUGCUUAAAAACUCAGAGGAGCUGCUUUCCUGGAGGAGACAUCUCUUGUCAGCCUGCAUGAAGGGGUUAGUUGCCAUGUAUAGCAGCAGUAGAGAUGAAAGCAAGCAAGAAGUGGAGAGGUCCAUGCUGCUGAGGCUGGAGGAAUUAUUGGUCAGACUUCUUAUCUGCUUUGCCACAGUGGGACUGUAUGCAUAUGUGUGAUUGGGCAGUUGCAGAUUUUGUAUAUAUAGAUUGGGCCUGAUUUCCUGUUUUAGGGAAGGUGGUCUCCACGGGCUUUUAAUAGCUUUUACAGAGUUAACUUAGUCCUGAGAAUCCUUUUAUAUGAAGCAGUUUUAUGUUCUUGAUGAUGGCUUUCCUGUAAGAAUCCCAUUUGAAGACAGGAGUUUGGGCUAUUUAGGGGUAAAAAGUCAAAGGUUGCCAGUGGAUUUUAUUAUUUUUUUGAUUUAAAAAUGCUGAUAGAGAUAGCUAUGCUAAGACCCAUCUGCCAUGCCAUCUGAAGUCUGGGGUAAAAAUCUGGUUGAUCAUAAAUAGAAAUCAAGACUUUGAUCUUGAAGAACAGUACUUGAUUCCUCCCUCUGUACUGUGUCUUUGGUUUAUUAUAAUUGGUAUAAAAUACUCUAAGGCAGAUGGCACGUUCAUGUAAACCAGAAUGUAACAAAAGAAGGAAUCCAAUGCAGUCCUCUUGGCACUUUGUUUUCCUACUAAACCCUUAUGACAGUUCUCCUUCUGACACAUCUCAUUGUUUAGUGUACAAACUCAUUAUUUCCAUUGUAAUCUUGCUGGAUUUUGGCACAGGUAUAGAAAAGGCUUGUGCUCAAGCCAAGCAGUAAAUAACUGAACUAGGAAUCUUGAGAACUGAUGUCAAUAAUUUCAUGGCCAUUUCAAAGCUCUUUAUGUUGAACCUAAACAUGAGAUCUCCAUUCUUUUAUUAGCUCUCCUGAGAGAGAGAGAGGAUUGUUAACAUUCAUCUUCCUCUGGUCUGAUUUGGUUUCAGAGACUCCAUGGGAACCAGCCAGAUUAGAAUAAUAAAAUAAUAGUAAAUUGCUUAUGGCAAAAAUUGUAUAUAAGGCCCCUCUAAUACAUAAAUUUCAGACUCUGGACAGGAACAAAAACAUAAUAACUGAAUUAGACUUUUAACAAAAUUUUGACAAUUGAUGAAAUAAAUACAACCUUUAAAACAAAAAGUUCCCUCCCACUCUCUUUAUUGUGUCUGAGCUGUUAACAGAGAAAUCUGGUCCACCUCCUUCAUGAAUUAGUCUCUUUAUUUAUGUAUUGCCUUCCUUAAUGUUCCCAUUCACUACAAACCUAGCCAACCCACUUAAUUUUCUUCCAGCAUUAUUAAAAUUAAUAUUACCAGUGCAAAUAUUUCCAAGGGAGAUAAUAUUAAUGACAGUCUCUCCCAUUAGAUCCUGUCAUUUCCUGGGGUGAUUAAUAUUCCUAGCUGCAAGAAGCAUUAUAUAGUUUAGAGA
rnacentral:lncRNA from 12 species